GCCCACAUAGCUCAGCGGUAGAGCACUUCCUUGGUAAGGAAGAGGUCACCGGUUCAAAUCCGGUUGUGGGCUCCA
rnacentral:tRNA from 1 species